ACACAUCACCGAACGUCAUGGCGGGCGUANNNGAAAGCAAAAACGGCGCUUGCGUCGAUAACGUACGACGGGAGUAAUACGUAAGGACGACUCCCGGCAGUACGACGGUGUCGCGAAUUUCAAAUUUACUGGGAUUCAUUAAAGCGAACCAUCGUGAGAGCUUGAGCGCUGGUACCCGAAAGAUGGUGAACUAUGCGUGACGAGGAUGAAGUCAGGGGAAACCCUGAUGGAGGUCCGUCACGAUUCUGACGUGCAAAUCGAUCGGCAGAGUUGCGUAUAGGGGCGAAAGACCAAUCGAACCAUCUAGUAGCUGGUUCCCUUCGAAAUUUCUCCUAGGAUAGCUGACACUCGAAACUUUAAAUUAAAUUAACAGUCGUAUGCGGUAAAGCUAAUGAUUAGAGGUAUUGGGGUCGAAACGACUUCAACCUAUUCUCAAACUAUAAAUGUGUACGAAAUCGAGACUUUCACAACAGAAGUCCGAUGUAAGAUGAACGAGUGUUUAGUGGGCCAUUUUUGGUAAGCAGAACUGGCGAUGCGGGAUGAACCGAACGUAAAGUCAAAGUGNNUAAUUGACGCUCAUCAGAUACCAAUAAAGGUGUUGGUCGCUCAAGACAGCAGGGCGGGGCC
rnacentral:rRNA from 1 species